GCCAGGCAUGGUGGCGGGCGCCUGUAAUCCUAGCUACUUGGGAGGCUGAGGCAGGAGAAUCACUUGAACCCAGGAGGCAGAGGUUGCAGUGAGCCGAGAUCACACCAUUGCACUCCAGCCUGGGUUACAGAGUGAGACCCUGUCUCAA
rfam:Gorilla gorilla gorilla genomic chromosome, chr10, whole genome shotgun sequence